AUUGAACGCUGGCGGCAUGCCUUACACAUGCAAGUCGAACGGUAACAGGUCUUCGGAUGCUGACGAGUGGCGAACGGGUGAGUAAUACAUCGGAACGUGCCUAGUAGUGGGGGAUAACUACUCGAAAGAGUGGCUAAUACCGCAUGAGAUCUACGGAUGAAAGCAGGGGAUCGCAAGACCUUGUGCUACUAGAGCGGCCGAUGGCAGAUUAGGUAGUUGGUGGGAUAAAAGCUUACCAAGCCGACGAUCUGUAGCUGGUCUGAGAGGACGAUCAGCCACACUGGGACUGAGACACGGCCCAGACUCCUACGGGAGGCAGCAGUGGGGAAUUUUGGACAAUGGGCGAAAGCCUGAUCCAGCAAUGCCGCGUGCAGGAUGGAGGCCUUCGGGUUGUAAACUGCUCUUGUACGGAACGAAAAGCCCCGGGUUAAUACCCUGGGGUCAUGACGGUACCGUAAGAAUAAGCACCGGCUAACUACGUGCCAGCAGCCGCCGUAA
rnacentral:rRNA from 1 species